rnacentral:rRNA from 1 species
GACAGAGGCCUCAAGCGUUAGGCGGAAUCACUGGGCUUAAAGCGUGUGUAGGCGGAUCGUUAAGUGCCUUGUGAAAUCCCACGGCUUAACUGUGGAACGGCUGGGCAUACUGGCGGUCUUGAGCCAUCUAGGGGCGACUGGAACAAACGGUGGAGCGGUGAAAUGCGUAGAUAUCAUUUGGAACGCCAAUGGUGAAAACAGCUCGCUGGGGGUGCACUGACACUGAGACACGAAAGCCAGGGGAGCGAACGGG